CUUUUGUCUUUUUGCUCCAGAAAUAAAUGAUGAUGCAGUCGAAGGGAAGAGAAAGCGGGAAAGGGACAGAAUCUGUCGGAUCACCCAGCGAGCUCGACAUACGGAAUUCUCUAAAGUUCAGAACUGAAGUUUAGACAAGAAGGUUAAAGGGUCAGCACCUAUGCAAAGAUGAUGAAUUUGGCACGUAUUCAUGAUAAAUACACGCUGAAGAAGUUCUGGGAGCAGAAGAUUGAGAGCCACGUUGAGAGAACGGGGAAUGAGGACUCACGUUUGAAGAACAGCGCUUUAUCAAAGUUACGUGAGGAGUGGGUUCAGAGACUUCAAUUUCAAAACCAGCACACGAUGGAGAGCAUGAGAGAAGAGCAAAUAAGAAAAGCUCAAAGGGUGCAAGGGAUUUUAAGUGUUUAGAUUGAAUACAUUUUUCAUCAUGUCGAUUCAUGUUUCAGAGCGGUACUUGUUUUUAAUGCAUGUGUUGAAAACAUGGUUUCUUACUGUGGUUUCACAGGUUGUAAGUCGUCAUUUGCUAGCAGCUCGCAUUAUUUUCAUUAUUAUCCUUUAGCAUUAUGCAUGUGAAGCUAUUGUUCAUCAUGCUUACAUCAUUUCAUCCAAUCUUGU